rnacentral:misc_RNA from 1 species
UUGCAAAUUCUCUCUCUAUAAAAUUCAGACUUUCUCGCCUUCUGUUAACUACUGUUUUCCUCUUCCUUCAAAAUAUACUAAACUCUGUCCUGAAUCUCAAUAAAAUUUAAGAUUUUUCUUUCAUAAUUUUGUGCAACAAAUGGGUGUUGCUGUCCUUAAUCCUCGGGACUGUCUCCAGAAUCCUUUGUCGUUCCGACAAGAUCUGAUAUCACCCCUCCCUCGCAUGAAAACUCCUAGAAAGCCUAAUACAAACCGGCCGAAUCGGCCUCAACCUAACCGCAAGAAGCGGAGCCCCAGCACCUCACCUUCUUCACGCGCCGUCGUUUAUCCCCAGGUCGCUGCCAAAAACCUGGUUAUGGGUCAGGUCAAAAUUCUUAAACGCGGCGAACAACUAGCUAAACCUACGUCAGAGAAGGUUUCUCAACCUGCUAAAGUUGAGAAAAUGGAAGAGCUAGAUCUCCAAUCUACUCAUCGGCUUGGACCUGAUCCUGAGCUAGUUCCGACUCAGAUCCGACUGACUGAGGCCAAUAAAGCUAAUGGCUUUUAUGCUGGAUCGGCUUUUAUUACUUCGCCACCGCCUAGUUCGCUCCCUUUGCCGGCGUUUUUCAUGAAAAAGUGUGUCGUGGGUGUUAAGAACACCGAUGCUACUAGUGAUUUACGACGGAUUCUAGGCCUUAGCUUAUAGUGUUUAGGCCAUGGAAGAUUGGUGGUGGGUGGAUAGAUGUGAUGUGAAGCUGUAAU